UACGUAGGGUCCGAGCGUUGUCCGGAUUUAUUGGGCGUAAAGAGCUCGUAGGCGGCUCAGUAAGUCGGAUGUGAAAACUCGGGGCUCAACCCCCAAGACGCCAUCCGAUACUGCUGUGGCUUGAAUCUGGUAGGGGAGCACGGAAUUCCUGGUGUAGCGGUGAAAUGCGCAGAUAUCAGGAGGAACACCGGCGGCGAAGGCGGUGCUCUGGGCCAGUAUUGACGCUGAGGAGCGAAAGCGUGGGUAGCAAACAGG
rnacentral:rRNA from 1 species